AAUAAAGUCAUUUUUUAGUUUUUAGAUUUAAUAUUUUGACUCUUCGUCUUAUUUGAAUUUUUUUUGCUAUUAAUAUUUUUAUUGUUACUAGAUGAUAAAUAUGAAUAAUACUUUAUGCUAACUAAUUUUUUUAAGGUUUGUGCAAAAUUUUUAAAUAAGACGAAUUAUGAAAGCAUUAAAGACGGAAAUCGAAAAAUGAUGUUAUU
rnacentral:pre_miRNA from 1 species